CAGAGUGGAAACUGCAUGGCAUCGCAUGGGAGCUACAAAAUGGAUGAAUGUACAAAAGGAGACAAAAGAGAUGAGAAAACUGCUUUCAACCUUUUCGUGCCAAGGAGCAGAUCUUUCAGGACAGGAAAUCCCCCACAGCGCACAUGGUUGUUCAACUGACUUGCAUGAUGAAAUGCUGCAACAGGAAUGUCUAUACAAUAAGGAGAUUGGAGGAUGCUUUUCUGCACAACUUUAUCAUUCAAAUGGUCUGAAGGAUCUGGACGACUGAAAACCAACAACUUCAAAACCUCUAAGAGCUGCCCCAGGGAGACAGAGCAUAGCGAGUCGAACCAACACCCUCUCUUCAACGAUGGCUACAGCUGCACUCUUCAGAAGAGCGGGAUGAAAUCGUUAUGAGAUACG
ensembl:lncRNA